AAACGCAGGCUAGGGGAGCCAGCAGUGGCAACACGCUCGGGUCCCCUUCCACACUGUGGAAGCUUUGUUAUUUCACUCUUUGGGUCCACACUGCUUUUAUGAGCUGUAACACUCACCGCAAAAGUCUGCAGCUUCACUCCUGAAGCCAGGGAGACCACGAGCCCACCGGGAGGAACGAACAACUCCAGACGCGCCACCUUAAGAGCUGCAACACUCGCCGCGAGGGUCCACGGCUUCAUUCUUGAAGUCAGUGAGACCAAGAACCCACCAAUUCCGGACACAGCACCAGUGAUGGAGGCUGACAUGAUGUAACAGUCAGAAAAGAAGACUUGACAAUCAAAUGAAACAUAUAAAGAUGCUAGGUUGCUGGCUUUGAAGAUGGAAGAAAGUACCACAAGGCAAGGCUGCAGGCAACCCCUAGAAACUGAAAAAUGAAAGGCAGCUGUUUGUCCACUUUCACCUCCAGAAGGAAUGCAGCCCUCCCUGACACAGAGUAGAGGAUUUCUGACCUCUAGAACUGUAAAAUAAUAAAUUUGUUGUUUUAGACCACUAAAUUUGUACUAUUUUUCUAAGCAGUAGAGACUGAUAAAAAUUGUAAUACUUGAAAAUGUGUUGCUGCUGUAACAAAUAAGAAUUUGAAAUUGGCUUUAGGAUUG
rnacentral:lncRNA from 1 species